CAAUAUAGAAAAUUUCCCGAAUAACUGAACUAUUCAUCAUCAGAAACUAACAGCGUCACCUCGUCUUUUUUCUUCUCCUCUAUUUUAGUGAAAGGAUUGACCGAGUUAUCGUCUUUCUUUUGUUCAGAGGCAUUCUUUUCUAUUGUAGAGUCAACAGAAAGUAAAGAUAUUUCUUCUGUCAGCGUUUCAACACUCGUAUCAAUCAACUUUUCCAAUUCAUCAGACCAUCCUAAUAGUUUACAUAACGCACGUACUUGGGAAUCACAAUCCCCCAAUAUCAUGAUAUCCUUUUUUCUCUCCCCAAAGUCGCCAGCUGGUUCUCGAUUAAUCAAAACUCGUUGACAUUUAUUUGGCACUAUUUCAGGCAAAUCCGCGAAUGGAUGAACAAGUAAACUUGUUCCAAUUACCAGUGCCAUAUCACAGACUUUUGUGUCCUUUUCCAUGUGCUCGAAGAAACGCAUUGGUAAUCCCUCGCCAUAAAACACAAUCAUUGGUUUGAUGAGACCUUUGCAACUGUUGCAUUUAGGGACCUGUUUUUGCAUAAUACAUGCUCUAACAUACUCCGUUUCCGCCUUUGUUUUCCGUCAGUAAAACCAAUUUCUGCUUUUUCACUUUAACUUUUUCAAAAACAAUCCUUACCAUUUCG